UACGAAGGGGGCUAGCGUUGCUCGGAAUCACUGGGCGUAAAGGGUGCGUAGGCGGGUCUUUAAGUCAGGGGUGAAAUCCUGGAGCUCAACUCCAGAACUGCCUUUGAUACUGAGGAUCUUGAGUUCGGGAGAGGUGAGUGGAACUGCGAGUGUAGAGGUGAAAUUCGUAGAUAUUCGGAAGAAUACCAGUGGCGAAGGCGACUCACUGGCCCGUUACUGACGCUGAGGCGCGAAAGCGUGGGGAGCAAACAGG
rnacentral:rRNA from 1 species